UACGUAGGGUGCAAGCGUUAAUCGGAAUGACUGGGCGUAAAGGGGGCGUAGGCGGCCUGUUAAGUCAGAGGUGAAAUCCCCGGGCUUAACCUGGGAAUGGCCUAUGUGACUGUCAGGCUAGAGGAUGGCAGAGGGAGGCGGAAUUCCACGUGUAGCAGUGAAAUGCGUAGAGAUGUGGAGGAACACCGAUGGCGAAGGCAGCCUCCUGGGCCAAUUCUGACGCUCAGGCACGAAAGCGUGGGGAUCAAACAGG
rnacentral:rRNA from 1 species